ACACUUUCAGACACAAUCAGAGCCAUAGAGGAGGAGCUGAGAGCUAAAGACAUCUCAUUCCUGCAGAACUACAAGGACACAGUGAAAAGAGCCCAGUCCACUCUGCCGGAUCCACAGCUGGUCUCAGGAGCGCUGAUAGACGUGGCCAAACACCUGGGCAACCUGACCUUCAGAGUCUGGGAGAAGAUUCAGGACAUUGUCACAUACAGCGAGUAUUAGAUCAUGUAGUAAUACUCAAUAUAGUACUUACAGUAUUCUGCAUUACUGAUCAUGAUCUGUCUUAUCAUGAUAACUGUCCAUAGACCAUUC